UUCAGUAGUUGCGCGGGGCAGGACUUGUCGGAUGUUUUUUCGUUCUGUGAAGACUAGAGCGAGUGUGAGUGAGUGAGAGAGUGAGCGUGUACGCGGUUACUGGUUGUGGUUCGCGUCAAGCUCCAACUAUCAUUUGGACAUGGAGCUGCACAUUCUGGACCACCGGCUGCGGGUCACCAGCAUCACCAAGAGCGGCCUGGCGCACUUCACACACCCGCUCAUCAAGUUGAUAUUCCUCCGCCGCCGGACCCGAUGCAAGUUCUUCAGUAUGACCGAGAGCCCUGAGAACUACACUCUCGUGUUGGAUGAGGAGGGCUUCAAAGAGCUGGAGUCCUCGGAGCAGCUCCAGACGGAGAGCUCGGUGUGGCUGCCGCUCAACGUGCUCAACAACGCCAACGACUCGGUCAGCUCGCAGGCUCUGGGCGUCACCAAGAUCGCCAAGUCAGUCAUCGCGCCGCUCGCCCGCCAGCACGUCUCCGUCUUCAUGCUGUCCACCUAUCAGACCGACUUCAUCCUGGUGAGAGAGAAGGACCUGUCUGUGGUGGUCAGCACUCUGGACGAGGAGUUCAACAUCUACCGCGAGGUCGGAGGAGAGUCGCUCCUUGUCCGCGGCUGCGACGUCGCCAACGGCCUCCACGAGAACGGCAAAGAGGCCGUGCAGCCCACACUUCACCCAGUGCUCAUCCCCCAGAACCGGUUCUGCGUCAUGUCCUUGGACCCGGACACGCUGCCCUCCAUUGCCACCACGCUCAUCGACGUGCUGUUUUACUCCGGCAGUCCCAAAGAAGAUGAGGCGUCAGGUCCCAGGCCAGACUUGGACCGGAUCAAAUUCUUCUCCUUCUCCCUCAUUGACGGUUACGUCUCCCUUGUCAUGGACACAGACGCUCAAAGACAACGAAUGCGGCAUCGUGGCUCAGAUCUCCCGGCCGUUGGCCGAUUGCGACAUCCCCGCCUAUUACAUCAGCACCUUCAGCUUCGACCACGCUCUGGUCCCCGAGGAGGACAUCGCCAGCGUGAGCGACAUGCUCCACAAGCAGAGGAUGGACCCGACCACCGGCUGAGCCCUGACAGCCCUCGCCCUUGCAGGAGCGCAAGAGCGCGGGAAAUGCGUACUGACACGCGCUGCUCGUGACGCUCGUGGCACUUCAAUGUCGCCCGGCACUCCUCGGGGCCAUCCGUUGCGAGCACUCCUUCUCCAUCCUCAAGUCACUCACGAGAAUGCUUAGCCUGGAAACGGCCCACCUGCUCAAGGAAUAUAUGGCCUUCCACGGCCUAAAAGGCUCACCUUCCGACAUCCCAGACUACUCCGUGAUGGGCUCCAACUUUUCCGAGCAGCUUCAGGACAUGUACUCCCGGAACGUGGUGUUUAACCAGCAAAUUAUGAAGGUGGAAGAGUAUCAGAUGGGAGACUGGGGCAACCCAAAGAACGUUGCCGAGCCUCUAAACCAACUCAAGGGGACUCUUUUCAGGUAUAGCAACAUUUUGAUGCAAUUGGCCCAGCAAAUCUACCCAGAGGUGGUCCUGACAACGGUGGAGCCUCUGCACCAGAUCCACAAUCACAGUUGGGCCAAGAAGAUGUACGGCUGGAAGGUCAUCAUAGGCCUGAAAGACUGGAUCACCGAGGUCCACAACGUCCUGGAGGUGACUCAGGGGCCCUGUGACAACCAUACCGCUGGGGCUGAGCAGGCCUGAUGGUGGUUGAAGAACUGUCGGAGGAUGUUAGCUGGACCCCAAAAUCCAGCUCAAGGAGGUAGCUGGAUCUGAACUGUGUUUCACUGCUGAUUACUGUGCUAUGCUUUUCUGAGGACUUCCCAAGAGAAGUGUUGUGGGGGAAAAAACUCUGACCCCAGAAACUGUUCACAGGGUGUAGACCUUUGACCAGAAUCCAGUUCCCGAAGGUAGCUAGAUAUUUGCCACUGCUGAUUCCUUCUAACUGAGAGUGCAGACCUCCAAGCAGAAUCAAAAUCCAGAAUGUUGCCAGUUCGUAACUGGUACUUUCAAUUACUUUAUUAGGUACCAGUGUUACACAGAAAGUGUUUUCUCCGGGUACUCCGGUUUCCUCCCACAUCCCAAAAACAUGCAUGGUAGGUUAAUUGACAACUCUAAAUUGCCCGUAGGUGUGAAUUUGAGUGCGAAUGGUUGUUUGUUUCUAUGUGCCCUGCGAUUGGCUGGCAACCAGUUCAGGGUGUACCCCACCUCCUGCCCGAUGAUAGCUGGGAUAGGCUCCAGCAUGCCCGCGACCCUAGUGAGGAGAAGCGCCUCAGAAAAUGGAUGGAUGGAUGGAUGGACGGACGUCUAUGCCCACUCCUGGGGCAGUAAGUGAAGAGGUCCGGUGAAGUUGUGGAAAAAUUCAAAUCCAGAUCCAGAAGCUAGUCGCAUAUGAAGAGUUCUGCUGAGGUUGUGAAAAAAAACGACCAGACAUGGAACUCAGAGGGUGCGGAUUCAGAAGGUAGCCUGAUACUUUCCACUGUGGAUUCCUGCGUUGUUCUUCUAUGAUAACUCAUUUUCCCCACAAUAAAUUCUUCCUUGGUCCGCAGGCCAACCCUCUAAAGAGUUGGAACAAGGAAUCAGAGGGUGCAGAUCUCUGCCAAGGCCCCAGAAUCCAGAGCCAAAAGCUUUGUCAGGUCCAAACCAAUCUGUGUCACCUUUUUGCACUUUCCUUUGAUGUCACUGUUGUUCUUUUGUCACCGUACAAUAUUAUGAUCAUUUAAUUUAAUGUUACUACUUAUGUUAUAGUUGUAUUUAUUGUUAUAAAUUAAAGUGCCAAGUUUAUGUAUA